CAUUUAACUUUGUAGGUUCUUUUCUCAUAAUACUUAAAAGUUUUUUUUCACUAAUUUUAAUUUGUUUGGUCUUGGACUUUACGAGCAUGUCUUUACUAAGUAUUUUUAUGUGCAAGUGUAUUCUAAAAAACUAAUAUUAUUUUGUAAUAUGACUAAUUAUUACACUGCAUAUACUAAGUUAGCACAAAGGACCACUAAUAUUGGAAUGAAAAGGAAAAGAAACCAUAAGCAGUAGACUGUAAUUCUCCUUAAAAUGUAUAUUCUUGUUACUGUAGCUAAGAUCUCAAUGUCACACAGUGAUGACCAUGGAGUCUGAGGUGCAGGCACUUAAUCAGUUAACAACUGAUGAACUUGAGGGAAAGUUUCAACUGCUUGAAAGCUCCUCCGUAGAUGAUGAUCUUGCAAGCUUGAAGAAAGAGCUGUCUGGGAGCUCAAAGAAGGGAGAGCUUCCUCCUAGGGGAACUGCUGUUGCUAAUAACACUUCUUUUCCUUUUCAAGACUUAGAGAUUGAGAAGGAGUUGAAUGAGCUGCGGAGACGAGCAAAGGAGUUCUAGGGGUACAAAAUUUGCAGAGAGGACAGAUUAUUGGGAUAGGGCACAAGGUUUGGACAGUUAUUUGAGGUCUUGCAUUUCAUCAUGACACCUAUGGAUUUGGAGCAACAAUCAUGCAUCCUCUUUAUGAAAUGACAUCUAUACAUAACUAACUCAUGCAUCACUCGGUAAAUUUUGUUCUUCAGAUUCUUGUGGCCUCUUAUGAGUAGUUAAAUUUAAGUCUUUUGAUUGUUUGCACUGUCAACUUGCAAAACAACCAGCUUCACGGGAGUGAACCUCAAUAUUUUGUUAUAUUCACAGACAAUUGUUCUCGCUUCACUUGUAUUCAUUCUAUGAAACAUACAAUUGAAUUACCUCCAGCAAUAGAGUACUGAGGUAAUAUUCUUCAUUUUUUUUAUAUAGUAAGGCAAUCUCAUACAACAUUCAUGCCCUAGUAUAUCCUAAUAAAUUGGUCAUGUUGAUCGUAGGCAUCUACGUUUCUAGACUCAUAUUGGGCUCUAUUUGUCCUGAAUGCCUCUCUGUAGUAUCACUUGCAGUCUUCCAAUUCUUGAUAAUAUCUUUUCAGUUCAGCAA